UCUUACAUAUGUUGGAAUUGUAUUUGAAUGUAACUAGAAUUUAUCAAACUGAACCAAGUUAUUUCGGAUAAAAAUAGAAAAAUAUAAUGUAUUGCAUACAAUUAUUUAUUCACAAUUUGGAAACUUUUCGUACAAAAACAAAAUGAAAUUCAAAACACUUACGUUUAUUUUUCACGAAUUUACAAAGUAUUCCCGAUGUAGUAAACGAGAAUCACCGUUUAUUGUACGUGUUUUCUCCAUCAAUUGACCCUUGCUUGAAGUGAUGGCUGACUUGUCCGGAAAGUCAACUAGGUUCUUCUCCGUGACCGAAAGGCUCAGCAUCUACAAAAGGACAAACAUAAUAAAGUAUCUACUCACUAAUUUUGACGAUACAUAAAACUUACCUGAAACAGAUUGGUGUCAAUUUCUUCCGUCCCUGGAACCGCGGUCCUUGUGAUGUGAGAUGUAGAAAAAGGCCCAUCGAAACCGAUAGAUUGCUCAACUCUUGUUAUCCACCGAUUCGGAUAUGUUGAAGCAAAUCUCCAGCUGCACAGAUCACCUGCUUCGCUAAAUCUCUGCUUCUUCCGGACUCCUCCUCUCCGCAAUUUUAGCCUAAAACAGGAUAGAGAUAGAAAAACUUGAAUUAAUUAACUAAAAUUUGCAAAUAAUUAACUUUUAGAGGAAACUUACCGCGAAAUUUGAACAGAAGAGAAUCACGAAAAUCGAUCAAAACCAGCUUCAAUGUUUACAUUGAAUUUUUUAUUCUCCCUUUCGUUGUUGACGUUUGUCGUGAGUGACCGUCAUCAAAACCUCCGAAAAUUGACGUUGUCGUGAGUGACCGUCAUUAAAAAAUCGCUACACUGAAAAAAACGAUACUGUUCUAAUCAAGAGAUGAUUGAGAAAUAUGUACCUCGUUUAAAAUUACACAAUAGUAUUGAAAUUUUAUUUCGAUUCGAUCAAAAUAAAAUAUGUCAAUGGGACUGUUACAUCAUCUCCCUCAGGACAAAAUGAAUGAAAUUUCAUUCAUUUUGAGAAGGGACGAUGGGGUAAUGUAACCGUCUGUUACAUAUUUUUGUGUGGCUCCGCCACAAAAUCCAGUAAUCCCUGUCCUUUAUGGAAAAACAAACAAAAAUCGCUCAAUCAUGAAAAGGCUAACCUCACCCUUACCAUCUGUCACCGCACACAGUCACUCUCCUCUCUGGGCUUUCCAUGGGCGUCGUGUGUAACCAGGGCCGUCACGGGGAAGUGUUCUCACCCGGAGAGCGACACACCCGCGUUGUAAUAUAGUUUGUCGUUGUAUGUGUGUCGGUCAAAGUAACGUUAGCUUUUUCACAUUCCGAUUUUGUAAAAUGCUUUCUUUCUGUCUGUGACCGUUUUGGAGAACGGAAGUGCGCGUCGUGUGUAAUUAAAAGUCAAGCCUUUGCAAACAAACACGUUAAAAAAAACUAGAAAACUGUGUUAAACUUAUCGAUAAUAGUACGCUAAAACAAACUGUUAAAAUUACACACAACAUCCAGUGUAAUGACACAUUCUACAAGAAAAACAACAUAAAAAGGUCCAAGAGGGCCUUUUUUGUUUUGCUCUAUUCUUUUCCCGUUGGCUAAACAACACACGGCACAACAACAUACAGAAUCCAGGCAGAAAGAACCGAUCAGCUCGCUAAAACCCCAAUCCACACGGUAUCAACAUCGGACGGCAGAAAACGAGGUUAGCAACAACACCCAUCUGUUGCUCGCGGGCUCUUCCGGGACGCCGGAAUGGAGCCUGUGAGGGUCUGGCCGAUUCCAUCGGACACGAGUGGCAACCGGAAGAAAUUAAACGGUUCCUGUACGUCGGGAUCCGAAGCAUAGCAUAAUGACCCGCCAAACAAUCAUUAUAACCACACAAGUGACGAAUGCAAAACCGCAAGUAUGCCUUUAUGUGACGUCUGUAGGGAAAAUUAGUUUAAAAUAAACCCAAAAAUGUAACCCUAUCAAUUCCGACAAUUAUAUCUGUUUAGUGGAGUAGUUCUAGACUCUUUACACUAAUUUUGUCCGUGUUACGUUCUGGGCUGAAAAGGUCCCACCCCAAAGACUUUGCUCCAAAUCAGUCCACUUCAGAAUCAAUAACUUUGCCUUUUUGAUUAUUGGUAUCCAUUUGACCCGGGUGGGGA